GGGUGCGAUCAUACCAGCGUUAAUACACCGGAUCCCAUCAGAACUCCGCAGUUAAGCGCGCUUGGGCUAGAGUAGUGCUGGGAUGGGUGACCUCCCGGGAAGUCCUAGUGUUGCACCCU
rfam:Picea glauca, whole genome shotgun sequence.